UACGUAGGGGGCAAGCGUUGUCCGGAAUCAUUGGGCGUAAAGCGCGUGUAGGCGGCUUGGUAAGUCUGCUCUGAAAGCCCGGGGCUCAACCCCGGGAGGCGGGUGGAUACUGUCAAGCUCGAGUCCGGAAGAGGAGUGUGGAAUUCCUGGUGUAGCGGUGAAAUGCGCAGAUAUCAGGAGGAACACCAGUGGCGAAGGCGG
rnacentral:rRNA from 1 species